rnacentral:rRNA from 1 species
AGUGAACGCUGGCGGUAGGCCUAACACAUGCAAGUCGAACGGCAGCACAGUAAGAGCUUGCUCUUACGGGUGGCGAGUGGCGGACGGGUGAGGAAUACAUCGGAAUCUACUUUUUUGUGGGGGAUAACGUAGGUAAACUUACGCUAAUACCGCAUACGACCUACGGGUGAAAGCAGGGGAUCUUCGGACCUUGCGCGAUUGAAUGAGCCGAUGUCGGAUUAGCUAGUUGGCGGGGUAAAGGCCCACCAAGGCGACGAUCCGUAGCUGGUCUGAGAGGGUGAUCAGCCACACUGGAACUGAGACACGGUCCAGACUCCUACGGGAGGCAGCAGUGGGGAAUAUUGGACAAUGGGCGCAAGCCUGAUCCAGCCAUACCGCGUGGGUGAAGAAGGCCUUCGGGUUGUAAAGCCCUUUUGUUGGGAAAGAAAAGCAGCAGGUUAAUACCCCGCUGUUCUGACGGUACCCAAAGAAUAAGCACCGGCUAACUUCGUG